rnacentral:lncRNA from 1 species
CUUCCUCCCUGCUCUGUUCUUAGUUGCUCUCAUUAUAUCAAAGAAGACAUUUGGCAAAUAUAAUUUCAAAGUAAGAUAAAUGUUUUGGGAUCUUGAAAAGAUUUAUGUCAGUGUGAAGAACUGCUGAUUUAUUUAAUUAACAGCAUUAAUGCUGGGAGUAGAAAUGAAUGCCUUAAAAAAGCAAUAGUUGGGCUGAGGUUGUGGCUCAGUGGUAGAGCGCUCACUUAGCACGCGUGAGUCACUGGGUUUGAUUCUCAGCACCACCUAAAACUAAAAUAAAGAUAUUGUGUUCACCUACAACUAAAAAAUAUAUAUUUGAAAAACAGCAAUAGUUCUGUACUAUUAUAACAAGUAUACCAUUAAUUCUGGGGUAGUGAAAUUAUUAACUGAGUGUGUUUUACAAAGGUGUGGAAGUGUUUGAAUAUUAGAAGCCUGUUUAAAAAUCCAUUGGAUUGUUUUUUAAAAUAUUGAAAAGAAAUAAUCAUAAAAUACAUGAGAUUACUGGUGACUUAGUCUGUUAAAUGUCUCUGUUUUAUAGUUCUGAAAUAUUUUUACGACAUGUUAAAAGAAAGGUAAGUAUAGUUUAUUGGAGGGAGCUUUGCUACUGGAGGGAUUAAUAUUCCUUAAAUCUGGAAUCUUACAGAAUUUUUUUUUUCUCCCUACUGGAGAGUGAACUCAGGGGCACUCGACUACUGAGCCACAUCCCCAGCCCUGUUUUGUAUUUUAUUUCGAGACAGGGUCUCACUGAGUUGCUUAGUGCCUUGCUCUUUGCUAAGACUGGCUUUGAACUUGCGAUCUCCCUGCCUCAGCCUCUUGAACUGCUGGGAUUAAAGGCAUGUGCCACCAUGCCUGGCAAGAUUUUUAUUUUAUCUAUGUAAACCUAUCUUCAUAAGCACUUUACUGCUAUCUUUUGAUCCCUCUAGAGGUAAUAUUAUAGCUUCCUUGCUUUCUUCUUGUUUUUUGUUGUUCUUUUGUUGUUUUCCACCAUACAGGGGAUUGAACUAGGUAGGGUUUCCC